ACAAACAUCGCUGUGAAAACUCCUUUCUCACUGCUGAGUAAAUGGUUUCCUUUGAAGAGCUCCUGGUAACGUGGAAGCAGCGGUGACAUUCGAAAUUUGCAGAUGUCUAGUCACCUAUGGUUAGAGAGCAAAUCAGUUCAUAACUUGACAGGAGGAAUAGCUCAGUAGUUGGAGGGAUCACGGACUGAACCUUACGUGUUGCAGCUUUCCAGUUCAGCGUUGGUCAUAUCU